UAAUCCCUCUGGGUAGUGGUUUUUACGCCACUGCCCGGGCCUUUGGCGCGGGGGAAAUGUCCGCGGUGCUUUGGCACCAGGAGUUUCUCACCCGCUUAAAUGCGGAGAAAGCUAGCCGGCGAUGCCCUAAUGCAACGACUUGUAUGUCCAGCGUCGUAAUGCUUCUGGAGCUCCCGGCCUCUGAACAAUAGGGACCCUCAGGUCCCAGAUGU
rnacentral:misc_RNA from 1 species